CACGUAGGGUGCGAGCGUUGUCCGGAGUUACUGGGCGUAAAGCGCGCGCAGGCGGCCCGGCAAGCAUGGCGUGAAAGCCCCCGGCUCAACCGGGGAGGGUCGUCGUGGACUGCCGGGCUUGAGGGCGGUAGGGGUUGGUGGAAUGCCCGGUGUAGUGGUGAAAUGCGUAGAGAUCGGGCGGAACACCCGUGGCGAAGGCGGCCAACUGGGCCGACCCUGACGCUGAGGCGCGAAGGCGUGGGGAGCGAACGGG
rnacentral:rRNA from 1 species